rnacentral:rRNA from 1 species
GACGAACGCUGGCGGCGUGCCUAAUACAUGCAAGUCGAGCGGACGGAUGGGAGCUUGCUCCCAGACCGUCAGCGGCGGACGGGUGAGUAACACGUGGGCAACCUGCCUGUAAGACUGGGAUAACUCCGGGAAACCGGGGCUAAUACCGGAUAACUCUUUCCCUCACAUGAGGGAAAGCUGAAAGAUGGCAUCUCGCUAUCACUUACAGAUGGGCCCGCGGCGCAUUAGCUAGUUGGUGAGGUAACGGCUCACCAAGGCGACGAUGCGUAGCCGACCUGAGAGGGUGAUCGGCCACACUGCGACUGAGACACGGCCCAGACUCCUACGGGAGGCAGCAGUAGGGAAUCUUCCGCAAUGGACGAAAGUCUGACGGAGCAACGCCGCGUGAGUGAUGAAGGUUUUCGGAUCGUAAAACUCUGUUGUCAGGGAAGAACAAGUACCGGAGUAACUGCCGGUACCUUGACGGUACCUGACCAGAAAGCCACGGCUAACUACGUG